rnacentral:rRNA from 1 species
GGCAACUUGGAGAAGUGGCAAGUCUUCCAGUAUGGGGAGCAAAACAGCUAUGGGUCAAGUCCGAUAUCUUUAGGAGAAGUCUUAUUGUGAGGGCGAGUUAUAUAACACCGUAGGACUGGCCGUCCCAUAUGAAAAGAUUAUAUUAGAAUUGAAUGAAGCUUUGUUUAUAUAUUGAUAAUGACAGUAUAUAUAUCGUGUCUUGACUAAUUGCGUGCCAGCAGUCGCGGUAAUACGUAAGAGACUAGUGUUAUUCAUCUUAAUUAGGUUUAAAGGGUACCCAGACGGUCAAUAUAGCUUAUAAAAUGUUAGUACUUGACUAGAGUUUUAUGUAAGAGGGCAGUACUUGAGGAGGAGAGAUGAAAUUUCGUGAUACCAAAGGGACUCUGUAAAGGCGAAGGCAGCCCUCUAUGUAAAAACUGACGUUGAAGGACGAAGGCACAGAGAACAAACAGGAUUAGAUACCCAAGUAGUCUUUGCAGUAAAUGAUGAAUGCCAUAGGUUAGAUUGGUCAAUUAUAGUCUAGGGUUAGUCUAGCAAACUAAUACCUAUACUAUUAUACCUAAUAUCUGGUCUAUAAAUGAAAGUGUAAGCAUUUCACCUCAAGAGUAAUGUGGCAACGCAGGAACUGAAAUCACUAG